rnacentral:tRNA from 1 species
UGCCGGGGUGGUGGAAUGGCAGACACAGCAGACUUAAAAUCUGCCGGGAGCAAUCCCGUACCGGUUCGAGUCCGGUUCUCGGCAUCCA